UACAUGUUGUACAGAGUUGCUAGAUGUACUCCCUUGGCUGUCGCUGUGGCGGCAUCACGGCAGCAUAUAUUUCCAACAUGUGCUGCUGAUUUGUCUCCCUAACCCGCAGGAACGCCAGGCCCAAUGCAAUGCUCCUAGUGACUUCCUCAGUAGAGGUCAGCAACCUGCACUCCCUGACUGCAUGACUCUCCCUGCUCACCACGCGGUCAUCCCUUUACCUGCAGGUGAAUGCUCAGGGGGAACAACAUGAAAAGAAUGUCCAUGCUGUUUUACUGUGAGGUACAGUAGGCUGCUGAUGCUGUUGAGGCCGGCACUGAGGCUCCAGCAGUUUCAUAAAGAGAGAAAAAUAUGGAGAUGUGUCAUUCAUUCAGUGAUGCAG